rnacentral:rRNA from 1 species
AGGACGAACGCUGGCGGCGUGCUUAACACAUGCAAGUCGAGCGGAAAGGCCCUUUCGGGGGUACUCGAGCGGCGAACGGGUGAGUAACACGUGAGUAAUCUGCCCUCCACUCUGGGAUAACGUUCAGAAAUGGGUGCUAAUACCGGAUGUUCACUGGGUCCUGCAUGGGGUUUGGUGGAAAGGUUUUUCUGGUGGGGGAUGUGCUCGCGGCCUAUCAGCUUGUUGGUGGGGUAAUGGCCUACCAAGGCUUUGACGGGUAGCCGGCCUGAGAGGGUGACCGGCCACACUGGGACUGAGACACGGCCCAGACUCCUACGGGAGGCAGCAGUGGGGAAUAUUGGACAAUGGGCGAAGCCUGAUCCAGCAACGCCGCGUGAGGNUGA